ACUCCUACGGGAGGCAGCAGUGGGAAUAUUGCACAAUGGGCGCAAGCCUGAUGCAGCCAUGCCGCGUGUAUGAAGAAGGCCUUCGGGUUGUAAAGUACUUUCAGCAGUGAGGAAGGUGGAGUCGUUAAUAGCGGCCUCAUUUGACGUUAGCUGCAGAAGAAGCACCGGCUAACUCCGUGCUAGCAGCCGCGGUAAUACGUAGGGUGCAAGCGUUGUCCGGAAUUAUUGGGCGUAAAGAGCUCGUAGGCGGUUUGUCACGUCUGCUGUGAAAAUCCAAGGCUCAACCUUGGACUUGCAGUGGGUACGGGCAGGCUAGAGUGCGGUAGGGGAGAUGGGAAUUCCGUGGUGUAGCGGUGGAAUGCGCAGAUAUCAGGAGGAACACCAAUGGCGAAGGCACAUCUCUGGGGCCGUAACUGACGCUGAGGAGCGAAAGCGUGGGGAGCGAACAGGAUUAGAUACCCUGGUAGGUCAGU
rnacentral:rRNA from 1 species